rnacentral:lncRNA from 1 species
AAACUCUGAGCUUCUCUGCCACGACUGUGGCUAACACACUGAUGGCGCCGAUGGUAAGAGAAUGCUCCCAGUGAAGAAUGUUCCUUCCAUCUAUUUAUGGCUGCCUGCAGAUGGUCUCUGCCUUGAGUAUUUUAAGACUGUGCUGAGGAGAAUUGCUAGGUAUUUAUCUAGUCAUACAUCCCUCAUCAUGCUGGCCAACUGCAGCAUCCUGGAAUCUCCUAAGAAAUCUGAGCCACGACCAGGUCUUCUUACAGAUCCUGAGAACAUUCUUCUUCCUGAGGAACUUUCUUUCCAUUUGACAUGACCAUCUCUAUCAAACAGAGUGCAGAAAUCAUUUCUCCUUAAUGCUCCUUCUGAUCCUGUGUGCCUAAGGCUUGAUCUGAACUGAAGCAAUCAGCAGGAUGUCAGUGCUGCCCCUCUCCUGCACUCCCAUCACCCCUUAGACUGUUUUCUCUAUGCCAUGUCUUCACUUUGUUUGAAAUAUCAGUCCAGCAGUUCUGAUGCUUGUGGCAGAGCUCCCUGAGCCAGGGAUUGCAGCUGGUUGCACUUGACAUUCUGCCCUGCACUGGGCUCUUUGGCUGUUCCCUGUGGCAAAGACCUUUUUUCUAGGAAUCCUUCCUAGAAUUUCUAGGACACAAAUAUCAGAGCAUAUUGCAUAAUUACCCCUAAAUUAUUUUUUAAAUCCUGAAUACCCAGGAAAACACUUAUGUCUUUAGGAUGUUAGUUGAGAUAAGGUGGAAAGCUUCUCCUUGGUUCCAUAGCUAAAAGAUGCAAAGCCUUUACCAAGGCCUGAACACCAAGAUCGUUUUCUUGGUCAUUUCAGCAGAAUCAAUUUAUUUCAUUCUUGUCAAGGCCUAUUCCGUAAUUAUUUGGAUGAAUAUUUGUAAAGUUUGGUUCCAAUGGAUAGGUCAAUUUGAUUCAUAAGAUAGUAUUUUUAAUGCUGCUGAUUGAGUGGUUUGGCACUAUUAAAAUCUGGUGGCUUUUUAACUUAGAUAGUUGCUAUUCUGUAAUAAUAAUAGACAAUACAGGAAAAAAAAAACAACAACAUAAUUUUGUUCCUAACUUUCUUGCUGGAAUCUGGAAAAUUGCAGACUCUAAUUCAGAACAGCUGGCUCCAAAUAUGUCAAGUUUUGGUUGAUUGCAUACCAUUAAAUAAUAUUGGAAGAAAUGGCUUAUCUCAAAGAAACUAACCAAUCUGAUGCCUUAUUUGGUAAACAGUCUUAUGUCUCUGAAGGCUAGAAUUAGAUUCAGCCUUAAAAUAAAUAUUUAAGAUCCCAACA